rnacentral:rRNA from 1 species
UAGGGAAUCUUCGGCAAUGGACGAAAGUCUGACCGAGCAACGCCGCGUGAGUGAAGAAGGUUUUCGGAUCGUAAAACUCUGUUGGUAGAGAAGAACGUUGGUGAGAGUGGAAAGCUCAUCAAGUGACGGUAACUACCCAGAAAGGGACGGCUAACUACGUGCCAGCAGCCGCGGUAAUACGUAGGUCCCGAGCGUUGUCCGGAUUUAUUGGGCGUAAAGGCGAGACGCAGGUGGUUUAUUAAGUCUUGGUGUAAAAGGCAGUGGCUCAAACCCAUUGGUAUGCAUUGGAAACUUGGGAUAGACUUGAGUGCAGGAGAGGAGAGUGGAAGUUCCAUGUGUAGCGGUGAAAUGCGUAGAUAUA